rnacentral:rRNA from 1 species
GCUAGGGGGCCAUCCCGGCUUACCAACCCGAUGCAAACUGCGAAUACCGGAGAAUGUUAUCACGGGAGACACACGGCGGGUGCUAACGUCCGUCGUGAAGAGGGAAACAACCCAGACCGCCAGCUAAGGUCCCAAAGUCAUGGUUAAGUGGGAAACGAUGUGGGAAGGCCCAGACAGCCAGGAUGUUGGCUUAGAAGCAGCCAUCAUUUAAAGAAAGCGUAAUAGCUCACUGGUCGAGUCGGCCUGCGCGGAAGAUGUAACGGGGCUAAACCAUGCACCGAAGCUGCGGCAGCGACACUCAGGUGUUGUUGGGUA